GUAGUAGCUGCGAUCCACAAAUUUUUGGCAGUUGUGGGGAAAAAAAUGGCAUUUUUGCGGUCAGUAGUCGCCGCAAGAACGACCGCUGUAGCAGCCGCAGUCGCAAUUCCAGCCGCCUUCGCCAUCUCUUCAGUCGCAUCGUCGUCUCCUUCGUCUUCCACUUCUUUCAAAAGGCUAUCCGAAACCCCAUCUUUCGGCUCGCUCUCGCUCAGAGCCGAAAAAUCGGGGCUUUUGAAAGCUGUAGCGAACUCGUCUCCCGUUUCUGUCGAAAUGGAUCCCGAAAAAUCGACGCAGAACGGCGCCAGAUUGCCAGAAUUACUGACUGAAUUUAUGGUGGAUAUGAAAUGUGAGGGCUGUGUUAAUUCAGUCAAGAAUAAGUUGGAGACUGUUGAUGGUGUUAAAAAAGUGGAUGUGGACUUAACCAAUCAAGUUGUAAGGGUUCUUGGAAUUUCACCUGUGAGGAUUUUGACUGAAGCCUUGGACCAGACUGGACGGAAGGCCAGAUUAAUUGGACAAGGUCUACCUGAUGAUUUUCUAGUAUCGGCUGCUGUUGCUGAAUUUAAAGGGCCAUCUAUAUACGGUGUUGUCCGCUUAGCCCAAGUUAACAUGGAACUGACUAGGAUAGAAGCCAACUUCAGCGGUUUGCCCCCUGGAAAGCACGGUUGGUCGAUCAAUCAAUUUGGUGAUCUCACAAAGGGUGCUACAAGCACUGGUAAUAUCUUUAAUCCCUUGAAGGAUGAAAACGAGCCACUGGGUGACCUGGGAACAUUAGAAGUUGAUGAAAAAGGCGAGGCGUUCUACUCUGGCGCAAAGGAGAAGCUAAGAGUGGUGGACAUCAUUGGACGAUCCAUAGCGGUGUAUAGAAGUGAAGAUAAAUCAGAUGAGGGUAUUGCAGCUGCGGUCGUUGCUAGGAGCGCAGGAGUUGGUGAGAACUACAAAAAGCUUUGCACUUGUGAUGGCACAACCAUCUGGGAAGCAACCGAUGCAGAUUUUGUUAGCAGCAAAAUUUAAGCUCAGUAUAGUGUAUGUAGUAUGUUUCAACAUGUUAUCAACAAUAUAGAUUUUUUGAACAUAUUUGAGCUAAAUUCACAUGUAAAAGGGUGUUUGCAUCUAUAUAUGCAAAAUCCUACAUAACAAUAAGAUAGUGAAUAUGGAUCAGUCUCUAUGGAAUAAAACAUCACAUGCUCCAAGCAAAUAGGCAUUGCUAGAGCUAGACAUGCUCCCUUGCUUUGCAGAUUUCUCUCUCUGCAUGACAUUGUUAUUGUAUAACGUGUCUGCAACAAGUCCGUUGAGCUGCUGAAAGAUUGAUGUAAGUCGGAAAAAAGACAGCGACCUUGUUAAACAAACGAGAACAAAAUGGUUUGUUGUCUUGUGUAUACUUUCAGACAUUCUAUUCUCUAGCCAUUCGGGCACUAAAGGUUCAUUCUUUUUGGGGCAUUACAACGAAAAUUUGGAAACA